rnacentral:rRNA from 1 species
GAUGAACGCCAGCGGCAGGCCUAACACAUACAAGUCGAGGGGCAGCACGUCUUCGGAUGGUGGCGACCGGCGCACGGGUGCGUAACGCGUACGCAACCUACCUCUUACAGUGGGAUAGCCCAGAGAAAUUUGGAUUAAUACCGCAUACGCCCUACGGGGGAAAGCCGGGGAUCUUCGGACCUGGCGCUAGUAGAUGAGCCCGCGUGAGAUUAGCUUGUUGGUGGGGUAAUGGCCUACCAAGGCUAAGACGCUUAGCUGGUCUGAGAGGAUGAUCAGCCACACUGGGACUGAGACACGGCCCAGACUCCUACGGGAGGCAGCAGUGGGGAAUAUUGGACAAUGGGCGCAAGCCUGAUCCAGCCACGCCGCGUGAGUGAUGAAGGCCUUCGGGUCGU